AAAUCUAUCCAACAUCUAGGUUAUUUCUAGCGUGUCGUCUUCUCCUCUCCUCUAUUCCACCAUCAUUACCUCCGACCAUUAUACACAGAUAAAUUUGCAUGAAACAAAGAACAAAGUGGAAUUAGGGUUGGUGGACUGAUUCGUGGACCAGCAAUUCUCUUUGAUUCGAUCAAGAGUUUUUGCUUCUUUCAAUCAUUUAGAGAAAGGAAUCUUCAGAUAUCAGGUCCGGUUGAUCCAUACGAAAGGCCAUGUCAGUCACUAUAUGAGUGGAACAGAGACAAGAGUGAAUUCUUGAGUCAAUGCCAAAAGAUAUUUAGAAGAUGCGAAAGCUCCUAAGCAAGCUUUCCCUUCACACGUUUCUGUAUGGUUUUAGACGUGCGGAUCAGGCAUUCAAAAGAUCAAGGUCACUGUUAAAUCUACUCAGUUCAGACUUGAUGUUUUCAAGAAUGUUGAGAGCAAUGCUGAGGUCAAAGUUUUGGAUGUUGAUGCCUUUUUCAUAUCACACAUCCAACUGAACCAAGCAGAAAAACAGAGGUGGAGGACGUAUCGUGUACUGUAAGAAUCCGUAGUAUUUUUUUCUAUUUAUGCUACUUUUUUUUCAACUUUUGUUUUAGUCACAGUGUGCUGACUCUCCAUUUUGCUGCUUACAUGUCAAACCCAUGCCACAUUGAGUUGAUUUUGUCAAAGAAGGAAGAGCCUCUGAGAAAGAGAGAAGCCAAAGAAAGGAGCUUCUUCUUGAGCUUUCGUGAUCAUUUGUGUUACAACGCUAGAUACACUUUGUUUACUUUUUUUCUCUCACUUUGUUUACUUUUUUUUUUACUUUCUCUUUCGUUAAGACAAGUAACCAUAAUUGUAAAGACAUAAUGAUGAUUGGUUUCUGGAUUACUCAAGUUUUAAACU